GACGAACGCUGGCGGCGUGCUUAACACAUGCAAGUCGAACGGAAAGGCCCUGCUUUUGUGGGGUGCUCGAGUGGCGAACGGGUGAGUAACACGUGAGUAACCUGCCCUUGACUUUGGGAUAACUUCAGGAAACUGGGGCUAAUACCGGAUAGGAGCUCCUGCUGCAUGGUGGGGGUUGGAAAGUUUCGGCGGUUGGGGAUGGACUCGCGGCUUAUCAGCUGGUUGGUGGGGUAUUGGCUUACCAAGGCUUGGACGGGUAGCCGGCCUGAGAGGGUGACCGGCCACAUUGGGACUGAGAUACGGCCCAGACUCCUACGGGAGGCAGCAGGGGGAAAUAUGGCACAAUGGGCGGAAGCCGGAGGCAGCAACGCCGGGUGCGGGAUGACGGCCUUCGGGUUGUAAACCGCUUUCGCCUGUGACGAAGCGUGAGUGACGGUAAUGGGUAAAGAAGCACCGGCUAACUACGUG
rnacentral:rRNA from 1 species